AUGAUUACCAUAUUUAGGAAAGUUGUCUAACAGGAAUUAGUCCACUACUUUCUAUGUAUUCUCUAGUCUACAACCUAUGAGUCUGAGAUUGUUGUGUAGUUUUCUCUCCUGUCUUAGAUGGAUCCUCUAUACCUGUCCUGGUUGGAGUUGUUGUGGGUCUGGUUGUUGCUGGUUUUCUCCUGGUUGUUCUGCUGGUUCUUGGAUGUCGAUAUAAAAACAGCAAAGAUUCCUGUUGUAAUAGAACAUCCUUAUCUCCCCAGACCCAGAUCACCAACCAGGAUCCCCAGCAGGAUCUACUGCAGCAAGAUGGCGCGAACAUCUAUGAAACAAUCAAUCCAUCAGACAACAAGGCUAAAGGUGAUGUGACAUAUUCCCUGAUUCAACUCAACCAGCUGAAAAAGAAAAGAAAAGGAAAUACAAUCUACUCAGAGGUGAAAACAGGGAAAGCUACAGAAUCUAGGAUUGUUGAAGAAAACUAUGCACAGAUUGACCUCAACAGGAAGGCCAAUAAGAAAAGAGGAUCAACACCCCGACCAGAGACAGAACCAGUCUAUUCUGAAGUAAUGCCAGGCACAGCUCCCAGUACUGUCAGACCAAAUCACAUCUAUUGAAAUGGGUCCUUGAGGGACAAUGAAGCCACCAGAGGACCUUGACGUUUGCACACCCUCUCCAUGUUGCCCUCAGCAGUGUACAGCAGAGUGACAAUGUGCGCACACACACAUGCUUGCACACGCUUGCUCACACAUGCUUGCACACACAUGCACACACACACACACGC